CUGGCUCAGGACGAACGCUGGCGGCGUGCCUAAUACAUGCAAGUCGAGCGGACAGAUGGGAGCUUGCUCCCUGAUGUUAGCGGCGG
rnacentral:rRNA from 2 species